rnacentral:miRNA from 1 species
GAUUAGUGACAGAGUGAGGGAGGGGGUGACUAGUGACAGUGAGGGAGCGGGUGACAGUGACAGAGUUAGGGAGGGAGUGACUAGUGACAUUCACUCCCUCCCUCUGUCACUAGUCACUCCCUCCCUCUGUCACCAGUCAUCCCC